GACGAACGCUGGCGGCGUGCUUAACACAUGCAAGUCGAACGCUGAAGCGUGGUGCUUGCACUGGGGGGAUGAGUGGCGAACGGGUGAGUAAUAAGUGAGUAACCUGCCCUUGACUCUGGGAUAAGCCUGGGAAACUGGGUCUAAUACUGGAUACGACAUGUCACCGCAUGGUGGUGUGUGGAAAGGGGUUUACUGGUUUUGGAUGGGCUCACGGCCUAUCAGCUUGUUGGUGGGGUAAUGGCUCACCAAGGCGACGAGGGGUAGCCGGCCUGAGAGGGUGGCCGGCCACCCUGGGACUGCGACACGGCCCAGACUCCUACGUGCGGCAGCAGUGGGGAACAUUGCACAAUGGCCGGAAGCCUGAUGCGGCGACGCCGCGUGCGGGAUGACGGCCUUCUGGUUGUAAACCUCUUUCAGCGCGGAAGAAGCGAAAGUGACGGUACGUGCAGAAGAAGCGCCGGCUAACUACGUG
rnacentral:rRNA from 1 species